GGGUCGCAGAAUGAUUUCAAGGGGUCGCGAGUUGGUUUGAAAAAAUUCUGUAUUUUCUGACUACAAAAAAUAUUUUUCAAUACUAAAAAAUUAAGAUUACAAAUAAAUAUUUUUUUUGAUUUCUAAAGACAGAACUGAUUAGAGAUUAAAAAAAAAAAAUAAUAUAAUUUCGUGACUCUAAGAUAACAUCACCCUGCGCCGACUGAUCACUAGUUAUCAAUACUGCACGCAACUGCACGUGGAAACUGCAACGGCAAGAAUGGAUAAAUUUGUAAUUUGCAAGGUUAGAAAUGUUGAGAAAAUUGUGGACAGUCUGCCUGAAUCAUCUGAACCGUGUACCUCUACAAAACACAAGAGCUAGACCUGUUCUGACCAAUGUAGGAAACGUCGGAAAUAUAAAGAGUAAUUCAAAAAGUAUGGAUUCACUUGCUCUUCUGUCAACGAUUUGGACCAUUCUCAGUGUGUAAUCUGUUCAGAAGUGCUUGCCCAUGAAAGUAUGAAGCCUAGAAAAACGCAGAGACAUUUGGAGACAAGAAACCCUGCUUGUGUUGAAAAACCUAUAGACGUUUUUCGCAGAAAAGAGAAGGAAUUAUACAGAUUCAUAUUUGUGUGAGCAGACUUUUUCAGCUGUUACGUACAUGAAAAAAAAAUACAGAUCACGUCUUGAUGUUGAGGAUGAUCUGCGAGUAGCCAUAUCCAACAUCAGGCCACAGAUUACACUUUUGUGCACCGAAAAACAAGUGCACCCAUCCCACUGUAAGGUAAACCUAAAUACAGUAAAUAUUAUGAAAGUUUGUUUCCGCCACGUAAGAAACUAUUUGAAAAGAUAAUUUUUUAAAUCUAAAAAUUGCGAGUUUAAAUCUUGCUAUUCUGACUUGGUUUUUCAUAAUUGUGAAAUACAAACUUGCAGUGUGAGUUAUUAAGUUAUAAAUGGUAUAAAAUCGCAAUUACCUUUUUUAUUUUGUUAUUCUGCAAACAAGCUUCCAUAGGAAGUGGAUGUGGAUUUAAAAGAACUUUUUUUCUGUUUAUUGUUUGUGUAUUCUGUGGUAUUGGGUUGCGAGUUCUCGUCGAUGUUUGUUUAGGGGUCGCUGGCUAAAAAGUUUGAGAACCACUGCAAUAGGGGACAAUCUGAUUAGUCCCACUGCUAAUCAAUUGAAAAGCAGCAUUGGCUCGAGUAUCAGACUGAUGCCCCAUCCGCAAGGAGACACUUUUAGCUGUAUACGCAUACAUUUUUUAUCGUAUAGGCGUUUCGUCCACACAGAUCUGCCGUAUUGGGAGAGUGAAAUCAAUAUUUUUUGAAUGGGGUCCCUAAGUGGGUAAAUCUGAAAAAGACACCCUUGCGUUUUUGUGUGGACAGCAAAUCCGUACAUUUUCUGAAACUUUUUCUGUAGUGUUCCACAUUCGUUUGUAUACCACGUGCAAGGUUUAUACGCAUAGUCCAAGUCUUCUCCGUUUUUAGUGCAUCUCUGUGACAGAAUUACAGUCCCACAAACUGGUCUGGCAUGUGUACAAUAUUUUUUUUGUUUCGAUUUCAUGUGGAUACAGAUAAAUAAAAAUAAAAAAACACCUUGGAUAGGGAAAGCUCUGGCUUCGUGUGGAUGUAGCCUGAUACUAUCAGUCAUGCUUAUUGACAUUGUAAGAUGAUUUACGGUUAGCCGUGUCGGGAAUCCAGCAACAUAUUGGCAUGUUGCUAUCAGAAACAGGUUCAGCCAUCACAUUAAAUCAGGUAAUAUAUUUAUUAUCAGGUUAUAUAUUUGUUUCAUUAUAAUUACGCAUACUAAACCAGGGGCAGUCCUAAACCCUUUUUAGACUACAGCCCCACUAUGUCAUCUUAGCCCUCAAAAACUGGCGCGAGUGAAAUUAGACAACCCUAGGGGGGCACAUGCCCGAAAAGGUUGAAAACCCCUGUGUUUGUACUUUACUGUUUGACAGGAUAGUGUUCUUGUCAGCUAGACUGAAUAAAUCCUCACAUGUCAGGAAUGAAGAACUGUGGUCAGAGGUCUAGAAAACAUUGAUUCCCUUAGCCGUUGGUCAUUUGGGACUCCACGUGAUCUGAGUACAGGACGACAUUGCAACAGUUCGACUUUAAUAAGGUUACAGACCGUAUGCAUUUCCCAAGGACGUGUAUUAGAUAGUAUGUAUCUGAUCUGAAGAACAAAACCUCCCAUUCAUCUCCAAACCAAGCAUAUGAGUACACAAUGAGCAGUGGAAUUGAAAUAGGGCAAUCUCAUUUUUCAAAUUCAUAGAAGAAAUUAAAUGUAAUACUUCUAUUUACUUUCAGUAUAGAGGACUUCGGGUUGGGUGGCCAUUCAUAUUCAAAAGCCCUCAUUGUCAGGAUGCACUGCACCAUUAAUCAAGCAUGUUGAACGGGACCUGAAGGAAUCUCAGAACAAUUAAACAUUCUCGCAUUGGUGACCAUCACCUUCUCAUCUCUGUCACGAUGGCGACAGGCUAACGUACUCCCCUCUCACUCCGCUGCCAUCUACAAGUCAUCCGCACCUUCGUUUUUCAUUCCUGCCUGAGGAGGAAAGUGUAUAUUUCUUUUUAAUGACUGCUAAUUAACCUUGGCCAUGGGGAAGACAGCUCAGGCAGACUGCUGGGUGAAAAAUGGCUCAUAUCAAUAUUCUGUCUGUGUGGCUCACGCAGAAGAACAGCAGGCUGGGUGUGAGGACUGGCUUAAACCAGAGAGGACCGGCCACGUGGAAGAACAACCUUGAUUGUCGUGAAAGAUGGUCCUUAAAUAGGCUUUAUAUUAUGCAAAAUAUAAUGUAUUCUUUCAUACCUCUCAUUUUCUGGGGGUAAAUUAUGACCUGGACAUUGUUGAUUGCAACCAGUAGUCUCUAUGUGCAAACAGUAAAUUAGUAUAGUAUUAUGCGAUUCCGAACACAGCCAUAAUCAUACAAAUCAGCUUACAUUGUUCCGCUGCACAUAAAAGCCAGCAGUCAGCACUAAUAUAGUGUUAUAGCGAUCAGGAUUCACAUUUCACAUAAGCAGUUUGAAAUGAUUUCAGAACGAGCAACGUAUUCCCCUCCUUGCAAACCAUGCUUAUCCCAUUCUUUCCCUCCAAAGUCCUUUCAAAGAGAAAUCUCCAAAGAAUGAGCGCAAACGUCUGGAUUUAAGAGGCAGCUCAUUUGCUACUUAUUGAAGAGAAUAAUUCUCCUGUUAGUGACACUCGAGAGAGCUUUCGCAGGCUGCACAGUUGGAGAGAUUUAGGAAGUGUAAUCACAUUUCAUGCUCCUGUGAUUGUGUCGUCAGGAAUAAUUCAGAUGAUGUCAUUUACUCACUCUCAUCAUACUCAACCCAUUUGACCCAUAUUUAUAUUUCAACCUCAAAAUUUGUGGGUUGGGGUCAGUGAAAUUUGAGAAACUUGUGGUUUGGUCGCAUGUCCUAAAAGGUUGAAAACCCCUUGCCUAAUGGGUUAAAACAGCAUGAGAGAGUACAACAAUAACCGAAUUUCCAUUUUUGGGUAAACUAUCCUUUUAAGCACCAAAUGUAUUUAACAAUCACAAGGUCUCAAUCACUCAAACAAUCACUUUUUCUCUCAUUGUAGAGCAGAACGUUUAAGAUUAUGAUCAUAACAAUCAGGAUUUACUGGCCAGCACAUAAAAAUUAAAUAUAUAUUUGAAGUUUACAAGAUCAAAUUUAACAUUUGCAUUAAAUGUGCAAACCCAGAAAACAGAGGGCAAUGGCAAUGUCUUAAAAUAAUUUGGUCAAUUUCCUCAAUCAUCCAAACUUUUUCUGCGAAAUACAGAAAUAAUAUAUUUUUGGGGGGUCCAACAUGUUAAUUUGACUCAACUUUCAUAGCAUGGAUCAAAUGGAAUCUAUUCAAGAACAUGUCAAAAUGAAAUUAUACCUUAAAAUCUAAAUAAAGAAAUUAGUAGUAUAACAUAUUUAGCUUAUUAAAAAGUUUUUGCUUGUAAUUAAGCUGUAUUUUCUUUACUGCAAUUUUCUUUUAUAAAAUUAAAAUUAUAAAAAAAUUAAACUACUUAUGAAAAUAAUUAAAUUACUAUAAAACAAAUUCGAUGCAUUAAAUUGAUAAAAAAAAAAAAAAAAAAAAAAGCCAUGAAAGCCAUGAUUUACUCUUUUGGUGAACAAUCUCCCAAGUUAUAUUUGAAGCAUCGCAAGCCUCUUUGAAGAUGGAGAAUAAAUAGUUCAUCAUAAAAAGUUCACUCCUCGUUUAAAAUCAGAAACAAAAAUAGGCCCCACGUUACUAUUUCUAUCAGCCUGUCAUGAUGAGGAACAGACUGCCUGGAAUACAAGUGAUACAGUAUGUGUAUGCUUAUGUUAAGCUUCUGUGAAUCAAUGCAUUGGCCUGAGUAUUAACAGUCUGUGUGAAAUCAUCCUUUCAUUCAGUCCACAGCAUAGUUACACACCAUGACUUCAAAUAAGGUGUCAGGUUAAGAUUAUGCUACAUUAAGAGUGUAUUUCUUGUACAUAGUUCUGUGUUGUGGCAACUUGGCUUUUCCACUAAAGGAUCCUGAAGGUCUACUGAAGGCAAAGCAGAGAGAUCAUGCCUUAAAGAACCCACAUGAGUUAGAUGAACUCAGUCUCAGUAGUAUACGUGACGGCUGGAGUCAGAGCGGGGCAUAACUAAUGUGACGAUAACAUUCGUUCCACAUAUUUACUAUAACGCAUGGAUUUCAAAACAGAAGGAAUGUUUUAUGUAAUCCAUCGAGUCUAUGUUAACUGUUGUUCUUGAACAAUGCUUCAUGAGGGCUAGCAUGUUUCUGCUAUUCUACACAGAAUUAUACAAUUUAUAUGGGCAUAAAAUAGAUAAAUGUCUAAUUAUGUACAACCACAAAAAAUAAAGGAUCAUGUAUUUUCAA